GGGCCCAUAGCUCAGCUUGGUUAGAGCGUUCGGCUGAUAACCGAAAGACCUUAAAGGAAUUACCUGAAAGGGUUGCCGGCGCGGGUCCGAAUCCCGUUGGGCCCACCA
rnacentral:tRNA from 1 species